GCUAUUGGAGUUCGAUUAAGCCAUGCGAGUCGAGAGUCUUAGGGACUCGGCGUACCGCUCAGUAACACGUGGGUAACCUGCCCUAUGCUGGGGAAUAACCUCGGGAAACUGAGAAUAAUGCCCCAUAGUCCACAAUGCCUGGAACGGUUUGUGGAUCAAAGCUCCGGCGGCAUAGGAUGGGCCUGCGGCGUAUCAGGUUGUAGGGGGUGUAACGUACCCUCUAGCCAUCAACGCGUACGGGUGUUGGGAGACAUAGCCCGGAGAUGGAUUCUGAGACACGAAUCCAGACCCUACGGGGUGCAGCAGGCGCGAAAACUUGGCAAUGCGAGAAAUCGUGACCAGGGAACUCCAAGUGGCUGGGGUAAGACCCAGUCUUUUCUUGACUCUUCAACGGUCUUGGAAUAAGGGGUGGGUAAGGACGGUGCCAGCCGCCGCGGUAAUACCGGCGCCUCAAGUGGUAGUCGAUUUUAUUGGGCCUAAAACGUCCGUAGCCUGUUUGGUACAUUCGUGGGUAAAUCAACCAGCUCAACUGGUUGAAUUCUGCGAGCACGGCCAGACUUGGGACCGGGAGAGGUGUGGGGUACGCUCAGGGUAGGGGUAAAAUCCUGUCAUCCUGAGCGGACCACCUGUUGCGAAGGCGCCACACUAGAACGGAUCCGACGGUCAGGGACGAAGCCUAGGGGCACGAACCGGAUUAGAUACCCGGGUAGUCCUAGGUGUAAACGCUGUGGACUUGGUGUUGGGGACUCUCCGAAAUUCCUCAGUGCCGAAGCGAAGGUGAUAAGUCCACUGCCUGGGGAGUACGGUCGCAAGGCUGAAACUUAAAGGAAUUGGCGGGGGAGCACCGC
rnacentral:rRNA from 1 species